rnacentral:lncRNA from 1 species
GGGCUUUCAUUUGAGCUCUUCGACAGUAUAUUUGAAUGGUUUUAUGAAUUUAAUUAGCAUUCUAUUUAAAUAGGAAGUAUGUAAACUUCUAUGCUUUCAAAGAAUGGCAUAAUAAGGUGUGUAAUUGGAGCUAAUUAUCGAGCAAGGGGGGAGGCAAGCUGCUACACAUUUGCAGCAACAAUUGUUAGCUAGCUGUUAAAUAUUAUUAUGCAUGAGAAUCACCUUUUAUAGAAAAAGGGUGGUCUUGUUGGCUAAUGCAGA